rnacentral:lncRNA from 1 species
GUGGGAAGCCACAUGUGCCGUUGCUGAGUGGCACUGACUACUGCUGGCCACCACGCAUAAGAUUGGACAAACAACCAAUGUGUACAUAUGCAGUAAAGUUUUUUGCAAAGACACUGCCUGGCCCAGGCAUGAUAAUGAGGUUCUGUAAGGUACUGAGAGUAUAACCAAUCAGAUGUGAGACAUGCAAAUGAGGUAUGAUAAUGAGGUUCUGUAAGGUACUGAGAGAGAGUAGCCAAUCAGAUGAGGAACAUGCAAAUGAGGCUUAGUGCAUAACCAAUCCGGGUGUGAGACACGCCCCUCCUAGGCCUAUAAAAGCAGCACCAGUUCUGGGCUCGAAGUCUUUUCGCCUCUACAAUCAAGCUCUCCCAAUAAACGUGUGCAGAAGGAUCCUGUUGCAGCGUUGUUCUUCCUGGCCAGUCGAGCGCGCGCAAGACCUUAUUUAAGAAUCCAUCAUCAUUUCUUCUGGGAAGCCUUCGAUCCCAAUAGUCUAGCAUUGUUUUCUCUGGGAAGUCUUACCUGAUCCCAUGAAUCUGACUUCUGGCACGUACCUCCUUUGGCCAACUAUGUAGCCGAGUUUUUGGUGGGAGACCUCCAGGGACGACAUGGAAGAUGGCGAAGGCUUACUGGAGCAGAACCUUGUGAGUCAGAGGAAAGUCAUGAGGAUCGCUGGGCCUCCCCAGGUUUCGCUGGGGCUCCUGAGGUCAACACUCAGGAUACAAUCCUUCCACCACUGACUCUGCACCUGGAGUGCCUCCCCCUUUCCAUCUGGCAGCCGCUCUUCUUGGCAAAGUGGGCCGUGAGAGGUCAGUAUGUGUACGGUAUGCUCAAGUCACAUCAAGGAGUCACAAAAGACACGUGUUGAUGGAAGACACGGAACUGGGAACACAGAGCAGGUAAGGAAUAACCUUUACCCCUCUACAUCCCUCAGAACAGCAACUCCAAGCAGAAUGGUCCUCAGCUGAGUUCAAACUGGAGCCACGUGUAAUACUGAUACCAUAGCUUGCUUUCUGGAGAAAAAUCAAAUGGCAAAGUGUGU